rnacentral:rRNA from 1 species
UGCCAGCCGCCGCGGUAAUACGGAGGAUUCGAGCGUUAUCCGGAUUUAUUGGGUUUAAAGGGUCCGUAGGCGGGCUUGUAAGUCAGUGGUGAAAUCCCGGAGCUCAACUCCGGAACUGCCAUUGAUACUGCAGGUCUUGAAUUUAGUUGAGGUGGGCGGAAUACGUUAUGUAGCGGUGAAAUGCAUAGAUAUAACGUAGAACACCGAUUGCGAAGGCAGCUCACUAAGCUAAUAUUGACGCUGAUGGACGAAAGCGUGGGGAGCGAACAGGAUUAGAUA